UAAUCUUGCGACCGUACUCCCCAGGCGGGGUGCUUAAUGCGUUAGCUGGGUCGCCGAAUGGCAAGCAGCCCGACAACUAACAACAAUAGUUUACGGGGUGGACUACCAAGGUAUCUAAUCCUGGUUGCUCCCCACCCUGUCCCUCCUCGACGUCAGUACCGAGCCAGUGAGCCCCCUUCCCCACUGGUGUUCCUUCCAAAAUCUACCAAUUUCACCUCUACACUGGAAAUUCCACUCACCUCUCUCGGAAUCCAGCUUCCCAGUUUUGAAAGGAGUUCCCAAGGUAAACCCGGGGAUUUCACCUCCUACUUGAAAUGCCGCCCAGCUGCGCUUUACGCCCAGUAAUUCCGAAUAACGCUUGCCCCCUUCGUAUUACCGCGGCUGCUGGGACGAAAUUAGCCCGGGCUUCUUAUCGAGGUACCGUCAUUAUCUUCCCUAUCGAAAGUGCUUUACUACCCUAACGCCUUCAUCAGACACACGGCAUGGCUGGAUCAUGCUUUCGCCCAUUGUCCAAGAUUCCCGA
rnacentral:rRNA from 1 species